GAGGUUUUGUGUUUUUGUUUUCUUUUUUUUUUUUUGCGUUCUAUUUAUUUUUAGUUUUCAAACAUGUUUAAAAUAUUGUUUCUGUUUUGGUAGGAAGAAGGUACUUUUUCAAUAACCUACUCUCUGGGGGAACUGUGUGGCAAUGGAGUGUGUGUGUGUGUGUGUGUGUGUGUGUGUGUGUGUGUCUUUCAGAGUUCAGCAGAGACUCUGAAGCAAGGAAAGUGUUUUGUGUUCGUCCCGCUGUGGCCUUGGUCUAGUUGUAGAUUACCACAUCCUGGGUAGUUUUACACACACCAACUUCAUGUGCUGCUGAAGCCAGAGGCUGUGAAUCCGCAGAAAAAGACCUAGUUCUUUUGAGCUCUGGUGAGAGACCCGAUACCCAACCAUUUAUUCCAGCUUUUCGAAUUUGUGCUGGUUGCAGGUUCACAGGCUACGCUGCCUCUCCAGGCGGGAGGACUUGGGGAUCUGCAGAGAAGGGAGCCUUUGCAGGUGUAGUGCUGAAGACCCGUUUACCAGGUAGGUGUCCUGUCUUCCUGACUUCCAGUGUGGCCCUGUCUCCUCCUUCAGUCUCUCUGUGAGGUCACCCUUGGGCCUUGCUUCAGCCCCACUUUGCGUCUACCUAUUCUUCCCUUGGGUCUUUAUUGAUAAGUAUCUCUUUCAUCAUCUGGCUGCCAAAAUGACAAGAAACAUUCCCCCUCUCCUUAGCCCUGAAUUCCCGACUCAGAUGGUCCAACACUCAUUUGCUUCACCAGCUGCCGUCU
rnacentral:lncRNA from 1 species